AUGUGUGGGAGGAGAGGGCUUGGCCAGGAAAGAGAUGUGAUGUGGUGGGGGAUUCCCGGGUACAGGUGUAGAAUCCCACGGUGUCAGUCCCACGCUCUGCAGAUGCACAGCGUCUGGGAAAGAGGAUUAUGGAAUGAGCUGUGCCGGCCUUUCUUCCCAGGUCACCCCAGACCGUGCUGCCAGUCUCAGCUGGCUUCGGGGCUGCCGGUUCUCUCCUCCCACUGCGGCGUGUCAGGGCAGAGCCAUCCUGUGAGGAGCCUGGGGACAGCUGACCAAACAGAGAGCAUCAGUAGACAGCUGAGCUGCCACGGUCAUGGUCGUGGUCAUGAGCCCACAGCCCAGGACCACUUGCCAUUGAAUAACUGGGAGAUGAAACAGGAAACUUUAUGACACACUUGCUUGAAAAUGACACAGGACUCAGCCCCUCUGCAUCACCUCUACCUGCUGCCCACAGCCGAAUGCGGGGGAAGGGCUGGCCCUGGGACCUGAUUCCAACCGCCGUGGACUCGACGUUCAGUGUGAUGUGUCUGCCAUACUGUGGUCAUGGGCUAGUCUGGUCGGUUUCCUAUGUAGCUGGCCACUCUCAGUGUAUCUUUGCCCCUUUUCCUUCAUUAAAAGCAUAACUAAAGAAAAAUGGAUUGUUUACUUAUUGUUGCUGUUCAUCCGCUAAGUUGUGUCUGACCCUUUGAGACCCCAUGGGCUGUAGCACUCCAGGCUCCUCUGAACUCCACGAUCUCAAUAGCUCUGUUUAAAUCUCAAUGUAAAGGAGACCAAAUAAUGUUUGAGAUUCAUUUCUCUAGGACCACAGAGAAACCAUGUCAUAACCACACAGCUCAUUAUGACAGCUUCUAGAAGAAGUGUGUUGAACUUGAAUCACUUAUUACUCAGUCUGGUCUGCCCUGCCUUUUCUUCUCUCUCUGGAAGCCCUCUCUUGAAUCAGUACUGGCAAGUUGACACUUGAGAAAAAUCCUGGGAGAUAUUUGGAAGUCUCUUCCCACACCCUCUCUGAUCAUGGCCUACAGACGGUGGCCCUGAAUCGUCACCAACCUUGAGCUUGCUACUGCAGACUUCUGUCUUCUCAGCUGCCCCUCUCCUUCCCUCUGCACAUCAGCCACUCAUUCACUGUUUCAUGCCACAAGGGUUUUUGGGCUUCUCUAUGCCAGGUUCUGAAGACAAGGAUGAGGAUGGGGUCAGUCUGCUUGGCCUUCCCAACACCUCUAGUCUAGUUCUGUGUGAGCCUCUCUAGGCUUCACUCACCAAGUAUAGUGGGUGCUAGACAGUUCAUUACAGACCAUAGAUGCCCAGAUUUUUUAAAUCCACCCUUCACAUUGGAGCCCCUAGAAAUGGCACCUAAAUAUUCCUUGAAGUGAGUAAACAUCGGCACGCCCGU
rnacentral:lncRNA from 1 species